CCUGGUUGAUCCUGCCAGUAGUCAUAUGCUUGUUUCAAGGAUUAAGCCAUGCAAGUCUCAGAGUAAAUGGAUUAACAGUGGAUCUGCAAACGGCUCAUUAAAUCAGCUACAAUCCACGCGGGAAAGGUGCCUUUGGCGUCCAGUGGGAUAACAAUGGUAACUCCAUUGCUAAUACCUGUCCGAAAAAUCCCACUCAGAUCCAACCCAAUGGGGGAAACCCUAUUGGGCUGAAGGGGAUGCAGUUGACCGAAACGAAAACCAACGCUAGCAAUAGCAGUGGUUCUUUGGAUGAAACAGGUCAACCGAGCGAUAGCACACAGACUUGAUCUGGUGCAAGCCCGCAGGAGUAUCUGCCCUAUCAGCUUUUGACGGUAGUGUAGUGGACUACCGUGGCUGUAACGGGUAACGGGGAAUUAGGGUUCGAUUCCGGAGAGGGAGCCUGAGAAACGGCUACCACAUCUAAGGAUGGCAGCAGGCGCGCAAAUUGCCCAAUAGCAACACUGCUGAGGCAGCGAAGAGAAAUAGCGACUUCUGGCACCAGUGUUAUGGAGAUUGCAAUGGAUGAUAUCUAAACCUGUCAGUGAGUAUCGAUUGGUGGACAAGUCUGGUGCCAGCACCCGCGGUAAUUCCAGCACCAAUAGCGUAUAUUAAUGCUGCUGCUGUUAAAAAGCUCGUAGUUGGAUCCAGAGCUCAGGUUGUAGGGUGCCAUGGUAAAUCUUGAAGGCGCAAUGUCCGAUGGCUCUGCUAUGGGUCAAACACUCUACAUCAAGACCUGGGCUCUAUCAACGGUGGUAAUGGCACCCUGUGAGUAGGCUCCUUCACGGGAGUUGAAAGCGCUUACGCGUAUACCAUGCGCAUACGGGUCGACCACCGAUGUUACUGUGAACAAACCAGCGUGCCCAAUGCAGGCGUAAGUCUUGAAUGGUAAAGCAUGGAAUAACAAGGGAUCGAUCCUCUCGGUUCUAUUUUGUUGGUUUUCAGCCCGAGAAGGAGUAAUUCGAGCCGUUGGAUUCUUUCUCGUAUCUUCGGAUUCAAGUAAGACCGCGGUUCAGCGGGAUCAAUAGGGACUGCCGGGGUCGUACGUACUCCCACGUCAGAGGUGAAAUUCUUAGAUCGCGGGAAGACGAACUUCUGCGAAAGCAUUCGACAAGAAUGUCUUCAUUAAUCAAGAACGAGAGUGUGGGGAUCGAAGAUGAUCAGAUACCGUCGUAGUCCACGACUGUAAACGAUGCCGUCUCAGGAUCGAAGGGUGCACCACUAUGGCCCCUACGGCACUACCCUUGAAACGAGAAAUCAAAGAUUAUGGGUUCAGGGGGGAGUACAUUCGCAAGGCUGAAACUUAAAGGAAUUGACGGAAUGACACCACCAGGCGUGGAGUAUGCGGCUUAAUUUGACCCAACACGGGGAAUUUUACUAGGUCAGGACAAUGUAAGGAUUGACAGAUUGAGAGCUCUUUCUCGAUCCAUUGUGUGGUGGUGCAUGGCCGCUCCUGGUUGGUGGAGUGAUUUGUCUGGUUGAUUCCGUUAACGAACGAGAUCUCGACCCUUAAAUAGGUGAGCCUGUUGUCCGCAAGGCAAGUCUGGUCCUAGACCUUACUUGAAACAAGGAAUCCACUUCUUAAGGGGACUGCGUGCGUCUAUAGCACGCGGAAGAGCGAGCCAAUAGCAGGUCUGUGAUGCUCCUAAAUGUCCUAGGCUGCACGCGCACUACACUGACGCAUUCAACGAGUCUGAUUGCCUUUCGGCAACCUAUCUUGAAGAGGAAGGGAAAUCUUUUGAACUUGCGUCGUGAUGAGGAUCGAUGAUUGCAAUUAUUCUCCUUGAAUGAGGAAUGCCUAGUAGGCGCAAGUCAUCAGCUUGCACUGAUUACGUCCCUGCCAUUUGUACACACCGCCCGUCGUUGCUACCGAUUGGCUGUAGGAUAGAGCUUGGGGGAGGUUGCGACUCUUGGAUUUCCAAUUGUUGCGUUCCGAACCCAAGCAAUAUUUUUCAGCUAGAGGAAGCAAAAGUCGUAACAAGGUUGCUGUAGGUGAACCUGCAGCAG
rnacentral:rRNA from 1 species